CGCGCAGGCGGCCAUUUAAAUUGGAUGUGAAAGCCUACGGCUCAACCGUAGAACUGCAUCCAAAACUAUUUGGCUAGAGUGUGGGAGAGGAAGAUGGAAUUAGUUGUGUAGGGGUAAAAUCCGUAGAGAUAACUAGGAAUACCAAAAGCGAAGGCAAUCUUCUGGAACAUUACUGACGCUGAGGCGCGAAGCGUGGGGAGCAAACA
rnacentral:rRNA from 1 species